GACGAACGCUGGCGGCGUGCUUAACACAUGCAAGUCGAACGGAAAGGCCCUGCUUUUGUGGGGUGCUCGAGUGGCGAACGGGUGAGUAACACGUGAGUAACCUGCCCUUGACUUUGGGAUAACUUCAGGAAACUGGGGCUAAUACCGGAUAGGAGCUCCUGCUGCAUGGUGGGGGUUGGAAAGUUUCGGCGGUUGGGGAUGGAUUCGCGGCUUAUCAGCUUGUUGGUGGGGUAGUGGCUUACCAAGGCUUUGACGGGUAGCCGGCCUGAGAGGGUGACCGGCCACAUUGGGACUGAGAUACGGCCCAGACUGCUACGGGAGGCAGCAGUGGGGAAUAUUGCACAAUGGGCGGAAGCCUGAUGCAGCAACGCCGCGUGCGGGAUGACGGCCUUCGGGUUGUAAACCGCUUUCGCCUGUGACGAAGCGUGAGUGACGGUAAUGGGUAAAGAAGCACCGGCUAACUACGUG
rnacentral:rRNA from 1 species